rnacentral:rRNA from 1 species
UACGAAGGGGGCUAGCGUUGCUCGGAAUCACUGGGCGUAAAGCGCACGUAGGCGGAUUGUUAAGUCAGGGGUGAAAUCCUGGAGCUCAACUCCAGAACUGCCUUUGAUGCUGGCGAUCUCGAGUCCGGGGAGAGGUGAGUGGAACUGCGAGUGUAGAGGUGAAAUUCGUAGAUAUUCGCAAGAACACCAGUGGCGAAGGCGGACUCACUGGCCCGGUACUGACGCUGAGGUGCGAAAGCGUGGGGAGCAAACAGG